AUUGAACGCUGGCGGCAGGCCUAACACAUGCAAGUCGAACGAGUGGCGGACGGGUGAGGAAUACAUCGGAAUCUACUCUGUCGCGGGGGAUAACGUAGGGAAACUUAAGCUAAUACCGCAUACGAUCGAAUGAGCCGAUGUGGGAUUAGCUAGUUGGCGGGGUAAAGGCCCACCAAGGCGACGAUCCCUAGCUGGUCUGAGAGGAUGAUCAGCCACACUGGAACUGAGACACGGUCCAGACUCCUACGGGAGGCAGCAGUGGGGAAUAUUGGACAAUGGGCGCAAGCCUGAUCCAGCCAUGCCGCGUGUGUGAAGAAGGUCUUCGGGUUGUAAAGCACUUUAAGUUGGGAGGCGUUACCAGCAGAAGAAGCACCGGCUAACUUCGUGCCAGCAGCCGCGGUAAUUC
rnacentral:rRNA from 1 species